UAUCUCUUGUGUUGUGAUGAUUCCUCUC
rnacentral:piRNA from 1 species